rnacentral:rRNA from 1 species
UCAUGAUUUACAUUUGAGUGAGUGGCGAACUGGUGAGUAACACGUGGGAAACCUGCCCAGAAGAGGGGGAUAACACCUGGAAACAGAUGCUAAUACCGUAUAACAGAGAAAACCGCAUGGUUUCUUUUAAAAGAUGGCUCUGCUAUCACUUCUGGAUGGACCCGCGGCGUAUUAGCUAGUUGGUGAGGUAACGGCUCACCAUAGCAAUGAUACGUAGCCGACCUGAGAGGGUAAUCGGCCACAUUGGGACUGAGACACGGCCCAAACUCC